UGCCAUUGAUACUCCUAUUGUUGUCUCCA
rnacentral:piRNA from 1 species